rnacentral:lncRNA from 1 species
GCAUUGCAUACUUUUCCUUCUCUUCUAUUGGAAGGUUGAAAAACUCAUCUGAUACAUUCCUCAUUCUUUGUAUAAGUUCUUUUUGUAGACCAUGAUUCACUACCUGCAAAGAUAUAUAUUUGCAAUCGUAAUUCUUAAGAAUCGAAUUCGAGUUUUUUGACCCAUUCAUUCUUAGGAAAAGUUCAUUAAUCAUUUGUUUAGACAGUCUUAUAUUUAAUUAGGUACUACAAAAUCUUUGAGAAGGUUCUAGAUAUAACAAGGUCUCAAAACAUUCACAUAAUUUUGGGACCGAAAUUUUGUUUGUUUAAAACCGUCCCAAAUCUAUCUAAAAAAUUAAAAAUGGUUCGGAUGAAAACUUAUCCGUGUAAAAACACAUUUUUUCUAGUAGUUGACUAUGAAUUGUUUUAAUAGUAUAUGAAUAAAAAUUAUUAUUUUUAGAUAUGUUAAUGUAAAAUUCAUAAAUUUAAAAAUUGUCAACCCGAUGAACCAAACCAACAUGUGCUUCAUUGGUUUGGUUCAGUUUGGAAGAAGUCAUUGUAAAAUCCAAAUCAAACCUACCAAUUAGUAUAUAAUAAAAAAUAGACACAUUAAAUGUUUUUUUUUUAAAGAAGACACAUUAAAUAUGUUAAAAUUGUAUAUUUUUGUUUGUACAUUUUUGUGCAACUCACAAUUCUAUAGUUGAUGAAUUACCUGAAAGAAACCCCACUCCUUGCAUGCAAUCUCAAGUUUCAGUAACUCCUCCAUGCUCCCAUUUGAAAGCAGUGUAAAAUCAAUUACAGGAAUCUCUGAAGAAAGUUGAGGCAUGUAGUUUACUUUCUCCAUUUCUUCUUCAUUCCUCACAUAUUUUGUUGGAACUUCCAAAGGAUUCAUCUUCACCAUUUCUUGAACAUUUGGAACUGGCAAAGAUGGAGCAUAAGUGGGUGCUUCUUCCAUCUCAAUAUCAUCUAUGUUAACACUCAUUUUUCAUUUGCUUGGUGGUGUAGAUUGUUAGCUUUGAGAUUUGAGAACUUUUAUAGUGUCACUACCAUAUGUGAUUUAUACCUAGUGAAUCCACAUGGAAAUAAUAAUUUUAAUACUUUUAUCUACAUGGCUAUGGAGUUCCAAAUGAAAUAAAUUAACUUUCAAUUGCAUAGGUGAGCUGGUUCCUAAUAGUAUGCUGCAAGUAUGAAUGUGCAAGUCAGCUCAUUGAUCGCCAGAUGUUACUCUUUAUAAAAGACAAAUAACGGGGCUGCUGGCUAUGUCCAGAUGUCAUGAUACAAUCGAUAAAAAUAUCAAAAUUGCGAAGCGAAUACGUGAUUAGAGUUUAAAGUCCAGCUUCUCUAAUUAUGUGUGCAAAUUUUCAAUUCUUAUUUUCAUUUUAUCUAUUUAAAAAAAUAUAUAUAAUAGGGGGCUGCUACCAUCAAGCAAUUUUUAAACGAAAAUGUUUACAUUUUUUUUUUUUUCAACCAAUGAGAAAGUGAGGUAGAGUUAAACAUGUCAUGUCAUCAAAGUGAAAGACUUACCGUUCAACCAGCAGGUAACAUGAAUUUUUCUACUUUAUUUUUCAAACUAAUAUUUACAUUUAUGAAAUUAUUUUAUUAAAAUUAACAAAACUUUUACGGUUUUUUUUUAAAAAAAAAAAACGAUACUAAAGAAAAAUAUUUUGAACACCGUAGCUUCGCAAAAUUCUUCCUCAACCGGAUAUUGUUCCCAGCAUUGGAUUCACCAUCGAUGAUAAUCACUAGAAAGGAAUGUUAUCUUUGGGUGGUCUUAGUAUAAAAUUUGGAGGUUUAAACGGCCUCGAGCAAACCGACUGAACCAGUUUUCAACUGCAUCCAAACCUGAGGGCAACCACACAAAUGAGUUAGACACCACAUGUUCAAUCAAAACCUUAAGGCAUUGGGUAUACGGGUCCUCUCAUUUAUAGGUUGCUCAAUCUUAACUCUUCCAUCUAAUGUGGGACUUUAACUCACACUUAACACAUCACAAUUCCUAUGUAGCAAAGAAUUUCAUACACAUGCAAAAAGCUCAAUCGUUUCUCAAUGUUCUAUUUCCUCCACCACUCUAGCAAGUGUCAAGGCUAAUGAAUAAGAAGCAAUGAAAUCAGCAUCAAUCUUUAAUAUUUGUUUGCAGCUGCUACGGAUGAAAGCAUCUGGAUUCCAAAUAUCACCUAAAGUAACGUAGUUUCCAGCCAAGUCUACGAAAAACCCAAGAUAGUCAUGUUCCUAUUUGAGUGAAAUCACAUGCACUAGGCCCUUGAUCAUCAUCAUGGUCAUCGGAACAACGAUUAGAGGCAAAGCUCAGUGGAUAGCUAUAAAGACAAUUCUGGAGGUUUAUCUCAUUCUGACAACAGUUAGCACAACAAACUUUGAAACCCACACUAGAUAACCAUUUUAGCACGAUCAACCUUAGUUGGUCAGCAUAAUCUGUAAUUUUCUGCGAAAGUGCAAUUCGAUUUUCUGUUCCAGUAACAAAACACCAUAGAAAAGUGUAUGUGAAUGAGGUUGUCCUUGAUGAAGGAGCAUUCCAAUACAAAUAGAAGCAAAAUGCAUUCUAGAUUAUUGUAGUGUACAAGAACCUUCUUCAACACUUUCUUGAUAACCUCUUCAGCAUUCUCAUUUUCUUUGGCAGGGAGAAAAAUAGUUGGUUCACUUGUAGGCUUUAUAAUAAGUUGGAGUCAAUCAAUGUUGCAUUAAGAAUGACUCUCAAUUUCUCUUAUUUAAUAGCAAAUGAUUCAAAAAGGAGGCAGUGAAUGAUUCAGAGCCGGAAUGAUCAAUUUCUGGACGUUCCAGGUCAUGAAUAUGGGAACCAUUGUUUAGUUCCUCCUGCCCUAGUAUCAUCAACACACGCAAUAUUCAGGCUAAAAACACAAAAGAAAAGCAACUGGGAACGUUUUCAAAUCCACCUGUGGAUGACGGUGAAACAACCAUAGCCACCAUGUGAGAGCAGAGCCUCGCAUUGCUUUUGCAGUUUCAAUAUCUUUUCAGUGCAAAGAAUACACCAGUACAUGUCUUCACUGCUUUCAAAGUUUGAAAUAGUCAAACCGAUCUUUGGCUAGAGGGAAUGAGGUCAAAAAGGGCCAAUUGUUACGACCCAAUUUGAGUCACACUCCAGAAUUUAGAGAAGGAAACUAGAGUAAAAAGAAGAGGAAAUUGUUAUACUUUUCAUUGAUUCUAAUCAUGAGAGAAUACAAGAUUUAUAUAGGCUGAUGCAUACACACAACAAGGGUAAAAGUAUAACAAAAUGCAUAACAUAUUUUCUUCUAGAACUAGCUGAGUCAUUUUUCCUUUCUAAAAUAAGCUGUCACCCCAUCAGUCUCUCUUAUGGACUUGUCAAUUCGUUACGCCUUCAUGUGAUCAUAUUAGUAAAUAGGGACAACUUCAUUCAUUAAUAAUUAUUCAGGAACAAUUCAGAACAUGAAAAAGUAACAUGAGACAGAACAAGUUUAUUUUCUUUUCAUAAAGUUGUUAUUCCCCUAUCCAUUCAUUUAUCUUUGUUGCAUUGAUAUGUGGUUUUCCUUCCAAUUUCGUAUUCAGCACGUGCCUCAAAUACUCUCCAUACGUGGUGUCCUUGUACAUCUUGGGAUUUUGAUCAUCUAUCAUAUGAUCUAAUGCCCCGAUUUCAGCAUCACCCUGAGGGAACAAAUAUGAUAUAAAAGUAGUCCUUUUCUUGUUCUUAUUUGUGAUUGCUCUAUGUUCCACACUCUUGUAUUUGCCAUUACUCAGUAUCUGUAAGGAUUGCAAAAGGAAAAAAAAUUUCAUAAUUAAGUGACUUUAUCUUUUGGUAUUCACUAAAGAAAGAAAUCAAUAAGUACUUACCUCUAUUACAUCUCCAACAUUAACCACUAAAGCACCUGGUAUUGGAGUAAUUGGUACCCAAUUUCUUUUGUAUCGAAUUUCUGUCCCUGAUACAUCAUCGUCUUGCAUAACUAUUGCAAUGGUCCUUGGAUCAGAGUGCGGACUCACACCUAGUACUUUCUCGGGUGUGUUACAAGGAGGGUAAUAGUUCACACGGAAACCUUGAUGUACUUCUCUAUGUAGAUCAAGAAGACCAUGUUCCUCCAACCCCAAAAGCAAUGACAGAGAAUUGAUAACUUCCUCGCCAAUGCGUUUAAUUUCAUUUGAAUAUGCGUCUAUCGUAUCCCUAUGUUAAUAUCACAAGAGAUACUCGAAAUUAAUCCUACCGGAUAAACUAAGAUACUAUGACAUACUAAAAUAUCAAGAAUACCUACUUCAAUUCCUUAGGCCAAAACUGAGGCUUCCUGAACCGCGUUGGGUAAACGAGCAAGACUAGGUAAUCAGACCAAUCAACUGAAGUAUGCCCGUAACCUUGCAUAUCAUCUGGGGGCAUUGCAUACUUGAUCUUCUCUUUUAUUGAUAAUUCGGAAAACUCAGCUACUGCAUCCUUCACUCUCUGCAUCAGGUCUAUUUGCAUGCCAUGAUUCACUAUCUGGUAAAAGUAAUUGCAUUGUAAAGAUAUUAAUGCAUUGUUGUGAACUUGUUGAACUUGAACCUAUUAUUACUACAAGUGAAAAGACAGUCACUAAUGUGCACAUCUAUCUUCCUUCAAAAAAAAUAAAAAUGUGCACAUCUAUCUAUUUUUCUAUCGCGUUUCAUUGUAUAUAUAUUUUAUUUUACUAUGUUUUAUCUAUUUUUACUAUGUUAUCUGAACCUAUCUAAAUUUUAAAAGAAGUGUAUGGUUAUGAACACAUUGAGCAGUUGGUAAGUGCAAGGACAAUAAUAUGCAGGGGCCGAGGCUCGAACCCCAGAUUCCCGACUUCUCCACACUUCAAAAGUAUAGGUCCAACCACUAUGCUACUUCACGAAUUUUUUUCUGUUUGAGUAAAUCACCAAUUCUACCCUGGUAAAAUAGGGGUCGGACAUCCAUACACCUAAAAUUUGCAAAUAGAAAAAAAAAAUCCAGAUUUUGAAUUAUGUUGAGCAACUUUGUCCUUCACUAACUUGUAUCUAAUUUAUUGUCAAAUAAGUCCCUCAAUUAUAUCACUUAAUAACAAAUUAACCCCUAAACUAUAUCACUUACUAUCAAACUAGUCCUUACAAGUUUUUGAAAACUCGGUAUCCGACCCAAUGACUGAUUAAUCUGAGGGGUCCAAUCCCACAAUCCACUUGCGGGCCAUUUAAACUAGCAAUUGAAGUUAACAAAAGGACUUCACAGUAAAUCUAAUGGUGAAGACAUAGAUACCUGAAAGUAACCCCACUCUUUGCAAGCAAAAUCCAGUUUUAACAACUCCUCUUUGUUCCCAUUUGAGAGUAAUCCAAAAUCAAUGAUUGGGAGGUGAGAUGAAAGGUGAGGCGUAUAAAGGUGUUUUUCCAUUUGUUCUUCAGUUCUAACAUAGCUUUCAGGAACAUUGAAAGGAUUCUUCCUCGCAGUUUCUUGAAUAUAUGGAAAAGUGGGUGAUUCCUCCUUCUUAUGAGUUGUUCCUAACACAUGAUCAGCUCCUCCAUUGAGAGUACUCAUCUUUGCUAUGCUUACUGUUCGCUGUGUGGAUUGAUAUGGUCUGCGUUGGUGUUGAGUAUGAGAUCCACUCAAGAACAAACCUGUCUGGAAGCUGUGUAAAAACAUUAAUUUGGAAAAAAGGAAAACUGUUUUUUUAAAUACGAGGUCCUCGCGAGCACUUAAGAACACUACAUAAUAUAUGUAAGGUCCAACGUUUAAAUCUCGGCUAACACAAAAGCACAGUACAUUUUUUUUUAAGGAAAAAAAUACGGUACACCUGUACGGUAACACCUGCCAACAAUAAAAAAUUAACAUCCUAACAAAAAUAAAUCAAUAAUAAAAAGUCCACGUUAGAAGGUCAAUUGCUAAUCACUAGACACUUUGACAAAAAAAAUUCCUUCAGAAAACAAACUUGAUAAAAAAAUGAUAAUGUAGUUAGUUAAUUUGUCCAUUUUAAGUAUAAAUGUACCCUCCCUCACAAGAAAAAAAGUAUAAAUGUACCUCUAAAAUACUCCUUGCAUUCAUUGUAUGUAGUAAAUUUCGUCUUUCCAUAUUUCAACACAUUAGUAUUAUUAAUCGAGGGUUUUUUUUUUAAAAAGAAUGAAUAAAUAUAUCUAGUAUUUAAAAAAAAAAAAAGGCUUAUAUCUAAGGGCAAAUUUUUAAAAAGAAUGUCAUAUUUAUUUUUUAUGUAAAAUUAAUUAUUUUAUUCAAAUUGUGUUAUUUACAUGAUAGUAUGUACAAUACUUUUAAUAUAGGUUAAAUUUACCAUUUUAUCUCUUAGCUAAUUUUUGUGUUUUAAAUUGGUUCAUAACUACUAAAAUGAUCAAUUUCGUCAUUUAUCUAUUUUGUCAUUAAUCAUAUUGGUUCUUUUUGUAUGUUUUAAAUCCUAAAUGUUUUCUCUCAAUAAAAAAAAUUCUAAAUGUUUAAGAUUGACCAACAUUACAAAUGAUCCGUCAUAUAUUUCAUCAUUUUUUGAAUUUAACACUUUGAUUUUUAUUUUUUUUUUAAAAAGGAGAGCAUCGGAGGUAUAUAUGACAAACCUCUGAUGCUUUUUUAAUUUUAUUUUCCACAAUUCCAUCGAAACACUCCUUGACAGAUUCUUCUCCAAAUCAAACAAUGCAUGAUCCAUCUCUAAAUAUCAUAAGUAACAAAAAAAAUAAAAAAUUAUGGUCCAAAUCUUAAAUUGUGGAGAGUUAAAAUUGGACAAUGACAAAAGGUGGAUUUAAUUAAACCUUAAUUUAAAGGGCUAAAACAAAGUAUAUAUUAUCAUUAAAAAGAAAAAACACGAAAGUAGAUAACAUGAGCAUAAACAAAGAAUAAAACAAAGUUCUUUAAAAGAAAUAAAACAAUUGACGAAAAAUAAGACCAAAACUAGAUUUUUGACACGUGCUCCGCUCGAAUUUAUUGUAAAAGGAUUGACAUACGAAUAAUAAAAUGCAAUAUAUAAUAGGUAACGGUGAAAAAAUAACACGUGAUAAUUCAUAGUAGACAAAAUAAAACACUUCAUAAAAUGUAUGAAAUCUGAAAAUAUUAUAAAAGAAAAUUGGUAAUCAUAUCAAUAAUUCGGGUAUAUAUAACCAAGUUUACAUAGAAAUUAGGGUAGCCGAAAAAAAGUAUAAAGUAUAAGGUAUCAAACGUGAUCAUUGAUAUGCUCAUAGUUUCUAGAACAAACGUGCGACAUCAAAUAAGUAUAGAAAAUAUUUUCUUAAAAAAAAAAAAAAAAAAAAAGGCAAGAGGAUAUAAAUGAAAUUGGUGCGAUGCGUUUUUUAGAUGAAAUUUGUUAGAUUAAAUAAUUGCAAACAUAGUAAAGCAAAUGAGCGGGAAAAAUUAGGUUAAAUUGUUGCAGACGUAACAAAAUUAAUAAAUAAGGAUAAAACAAAAACAUAUUAGUCCCCGUGAGCUUAGCUCAAUUGACAGGGACAUUGCAUAAUUUAUGCAGGGGCAGGGGUUCAAACCCCGGACACCCCACUUCUCCACAUUUAAAUGUGUGAGCUCCGGCCACCGGUCUACUAGACAAACAAAAAAAAAAAAUUAUACAAAUGACCAAUAAACAAAGAAUAUGCUUAUGCAUGUUGAAGGUAGAGGUAUGGAAUGAACCUGGGAAAUGGAGGCUCUGGGUCUGGGCCACGUCGUUAUAUGUUAAUUUGUGGCUACUGUGAAACCCUUUACUUAUUCAUUGCACUUAUUUUAAGCUACUCGCGUAGUUAGAUUUUGAGGAUGCAUAUGAUGUGUUCGAUGAAAGUUGGAAGCCAAAUAUAAAUUAAUAACCUUAUAUUCUAUUUGAUUAUUUGUUUUGUUUAGAGAGCUAGCAUUGAACUUGCAGUAUUAAAAUACAAUUCUGCAAUCAAUGGUUAAUUUUGUUUAGAUUUUGAUUCACAUAUAAAUGGCUGUGUUCCGGACUGAGACGAGACCCAUCUGGAAUAUACUUUACCAUGAGGGUAGACACGAUGUACGUUGUACCAUCAACGCACAUAGAAAUCACCUUAUGCAAUCAAUCACCACCAUGUGGUGAAGAUCAAACGGUGAUCUCAUGAUCAAUCUGCAAAUCUCUAUUAUAGAAAGACCUCCAGUGAAAGAUACACAUUAUUACCUCUCACUCCCAUUUAUGUAGCUGCCGCUGCCGUCCUCCAUCGUGUUUCCACUUCUCCGGCUGUAUAUGAAUUUAUUUUAUUUUAUUUGCAAUCAACCAAUCAUUUGAUCAAAAGUUUGAAAGUGCAUUGUUUAGAGUUGUUUAAAAAUACACAUUUGAUGUAAAUGAUAUUUUUUAAGCAUUAUACAAGCACAAUUAUAAAAAUGAAAAGGUAAAUUAUUCUUCUAUUACUUAUGCCUUUAUCUUUGCCACAUCAGUGUGUGUUUUUCCCUCCAUUUUUCUCUUCAUGGAUUGCCUCAAAUAAUCUCCAUACAACACUUUCUGGUACAUCUUAGGGUUUUGAGCAUCUAUCAUAUGAUCAAAGGGCUCCACUUCAACAUCAUCUCGAGGAAACACAAAUGUUGCAUGAGAAGUCCUUCUCUUGUUUUUAUUUGUCAUUGCUCUGUGUUCUACACUCUUGUAUCUUCCAUUACUCCAUAUCUGUUCACAUUGAAAAAAGAAAUAAACUGAAAAUGUUGAUAUAUAACUAAGUGACUGUUGGUAUUUCUUUCUUUUCAAGCUUACAAUGUACUCUUUAUUUAGUGUUGAUUAUAUCACUAAAGAAAUAGUUCAAUUAUGCCAAUUGGAGUAGACACCUAUCAAGCACAAAUAGAGACACGUAUAUCGGAUACGACACAGACAGGAACACUUAGACAGUAGUAAUAAUUUAAGAAAAUGUAACUGUAUGUGUCGGUGUCAAACAUAAAGAUAUGUCACCUAACACGCCUUCAAUGCGAAUUGUCUGUGCUACAUAUGUUGACACGUCAAGUUGGACCUUAUUACACCAAAACUGUCAUUGAUAUUUUUAAUUUUCUCUACAAAUUUAAAAAAUUUGUUUACAAAAGAAAGAAAUUAUUCAAUUACCUCUAUUACAUCUCCGACAUUGACAACUAGAGCAUCUGAUAUUGGAGUAACGGGUACCCAAUUUCCUUUAUGUCGAAUUUCUAAUCCAGGCACAUCAUCAUCUUGCAUAAGUAAAGUAAUGGUGCUUGAGUCGGAGUGUGGACUCAAACCCAACACUUGCUCAGGUGUGUCGCAAGGAGGGUAAUAGUUCACACGUAAACCCUGAAGUACUUCUUUAUGCAGUCCAGCAAGAACAUGUUUUUCCAACCCCAUAAUAACAGACAAAGAACUUAGAAGUUCGUCACCAACUCUUUUUACUUCACUUGAAUAUGUAUCUACUAUCUCCCUGCAUUACGAUAUUAAUUCCAUUUAAAAAUCACAAUAUAAGUCUUUAAUUAACACUAGCAUUUCUGAUUGAAGGUGUCCGGUGUCUGACACUGACAUUGACACAUGUAUUACUUUCAAUUAAUUCAUUUUAUUAAAUUAUUACCGAUUCCAACUUGUCGGUGUUAGUGUUUUAUUCGGUUUCUGUGUUUGCAUCGGUGCUUCAUAGCAAGAUUUACAUACAUGUUUUAAAGAAUCAAAAUCAUAUUUGAUUUUAGAUUUAAAUUGUAAAAAAUGCAUACUUGAAUCCAUGCGGUGUUUUUGGCCAGAAUUGAAGCUUCCUGAACCGGGUGGGAUAAAUGAGUAAAAACAAUGUGUCUGUCCAAUCAAGCGUCUGCUCUUCGGAAACUACAUAAGCAUGACCAUAGCCAUGUACGUCGUUUGAGAGCAUUGCAUACUUUUCCUUCUCUUCUAUUGGAAGUUUGAAAAACUCAUCUGCUGCAUCUUUCAUAUUCUGCAGAAUUUCUUUGUCCACACCAUGAUUCACUAUCUGCAAAGGUAUUUCUAAUUUCAAGCAGCACUUGAUGGUUAACCAAACAAAAUCUUAUUAACUCACAGUUCUGUAAUUUCAAGAGUUACCUGAAAGAAACCCCACUCCCUGCAUGCAAUCUCAAGUUUCCGCAACUCUUCCAUGUUCCCAUUUGAAAGCAGUGUUAAAUCAAUGACAGGAAUCUCCGAUGAAAGGUGAGGCGUGUAAUGUACUUUUUCCAUUUCUUCUUGAUUCCUCACGUAUCGUUUAGGAACUUGCGAAGGAUUAAUCUUCACCAUUUCUUGAACAUUUGGUACCGGUAAAGAUGGAGCAAAAAUUGGUGCUUCAUCUAUGUUAACACUCAUCUUUAAUUUGCUUUGUGUAGAUUGUUAGCUUUAGAUUUGAGAACUUUUAAAGGGUUAUAUGUAAAGUUUUUUUUGUUUGUACUAAGAGGGAAUCUUGAGAUUUGUUCUAGAAAUAAAUAUACUUCUGCCUAGCCAAUCCAAAUAGAAAAAUCACUUUAGAUUACUUUUAUCUACAUUGUUUUGCAUCUAUGGAAUCUAUGCCUUGGAUUGGAGUUUCCAAAUUAAACAAACUUCAACUGCAUAGGUAAGUUGGGAUAUGAACAAAGUUAGGUCAUGUAAAGAAAGCAAAAUAAUGCAAUUUGCAAAUAUGUUGUGUUUUAUACAAAAUUAAUAUCAUAGUCUUAUUUCCUUUUCGUGUAUCAUGUUUUGCAACGAGCAAAAUCGAUCCUUCAUAUGCAGUAAAAAUAAAAUAAUUGUCUAGAAAUAUUUUUUUGGUCGCUUGACUUAUUUUUAAGGUUUUUUUCGGUCCUUAAACUUUAUAAUGAGUCAUUUUGGUCUUUUUUUUUUUUUUUGUGGUGGCCGGGAUUCGAACCCCGACCUUGCAUAUAUUAUGCAUUGUCCUUAUCAACUGAGGUCUCUUAACUUAAAUGUGUUAAUUCAAGUUAGUUCUUUUUGUCUAAACUGUAGUCAACUGAUAUUUGCAAUGUCACCUUAGCUAUCUAUGUAUGUAAAUAUUUUUCAGUUACAAAUUUACAAUAGCAACUUGAUGAAUGACUAUAGUUUCCAAUUUUUUUUCCUGUUGUCUUACUAUGCAAUUUGAUGUUCUGAGAGCUUUGUUUGCAUACCAAUCAAUCUUGCUUUAUUAUUUUUCGCUAUAGUGUGAAUAUUGUGAAAUCUAUUACUUCUUUGAUGUUCUUAUGUUUGAUGAAAACUUGAAAGUCUUUAAAAGUUGGUAACUUUUGGAUCUGUUACAGGUUCCGGAACAUAAUUAGUAUGAAAAUCAUUUUUCCUUGGCUGUCUGGUAUCAAUCUUUCAAUAUUGGGACCACUACAAGUAAUUUUUUCCAAGGAGACGAUGAGCCUCAACCUUGAGAGAAUUAUAAGAUUCCUAGUAGCCAUAAUAUUUCCACAAUCACGACCUGGCCUGAUGGUAUUGUUUGCCAGUAACAAUCAGUUCAUACUUCAUAUCACUGGUGUUGUUCAAAUCCAUCACUAGGAUAACCGUUGUCGAUGCCUGUCUUCAGCUGCAGGUCUUAUGCGGUGAAAAACAGGUUAUGAAACAGAUUGGUUCGUGAAACGGGUUAUAUUUUAGACCACUUUAUAUUAGAACCUUAAAACCUAGAGCUUGUAUUACCUUGUAAAAAAGUUUUAGGGUAAUGUUGUUAUGCUUUUAUUCAUCUGAUUUAAAUACAGAGAGUACACACAGAGUUUAGGGAAACAGAAGCAAAACAUACAAUAGAAUAAAACAGAAAAUCCCUUAAAAAACAGAAAAUAUGCACUAAUAACAAACAGACAAUCACGGAAUCUUCAUCUUUUUCCUCAUUUUCUUUGAGUUGUUAUGUCACUAUUACAUGUUCCUUUAUCUUUGCCACAUCGGUGUGUGUUUUUCGCUCCAUUUUUCUCUUUAAGGAAUGCCUCAAAUAAUCUCCAUACUUGACUUUCUGGUACAUCUUGGGGUUUUGAGCAUCUAUCAUAUGAUCAAAGGGCUCAACUUCAACGUCAUCUCGAGGGAAUAAAAAUGAUGCAUAAGAAAUCCUUCUUUUGUUCUGAUUUGUCAUUACCCUGUGUUCUACACUCUUGUAUUUUCCAUUACUCAAUAUCUGUUCAAUGACGAAAUAAGUGAAUCGUGCGAAUUGAGCAUGACAUCUAUAAAGCAUUAAUUAAGGUACAAUAACUAGACAUGACAUCGACAUGAACAUUUACAAACCGAUCAUAAUUAAAAAAAAUAUAAUAGUGACGGAAUGCAAAAACACACACACAUGCAUACCUAUAUAUUGGUAUCAGACAAAAAUGUGUUACCUCUAUAACAUCUCCAACAUUGAUAACUAGAGCAUCUGAUAUUGGUUUAACCGGUACCCAAUUUCCUUUGUUUCUGAUUUCUAAUCCAAGCACAUCAUCAUCUUGAAUAAGUAAGGUAAUGGUGGUUGUGUCAGAGUGUGGACUCAAACCCAAUACUUGCUCAGGGUUGUUGCAAGGAGGGUAAUAGUUCACGCGUAAACCUUGAAUUAAUUCUUUAUGCAGUUCAGCGAGAGCAUGUUUCUCCAACCCCAUGAUAAUAGACAGAAAACUUAGAAGUUCCUCGCCAACUCGUCUCACUUCACUUGAAUAUGCCUCUAUUAUCUCUCUACAUUAGCAAACGAGUUUCAUCAAAAUCACAAAAUGUACAUAUAUAGCGGAUUCUAUUAGGGUUUGAAUUUUGAACAUCAGUUAUUUAAUGAAUCUGAAAAAGGAAAAUUUGCUUAUAAAUGUGACCGGAUGGAGUAUAGUGGAAACUUUAUAUUUGCUUAGACCAAAAUGUCAAAAGUGCAUACUUGAAUCCAUGUGAGGUUUUUGGCCAAAAUUGAAGCUUCCUAUACCGGUCGGGAUAAAUGAUUAAAACUAGUACGUCGGACCAAUCAAGUGUUUGCUCCUCAGAAACGACAUAAUUUUGCCCAUAGCCUUGUAUGUCGUUUGGGAGCAUUGCAUACUUUUCCUUCUCUUCCAUUGGAAGUUCAAAAAACUCAUUUGAUGCAUCCCUCAUUCUUUGUAUAAGGUCUUUUUCCACACCAUGAUUCACCAUCUGCAAAGAUAUAUAUUGCAAUCUUAUAAAGCACUUGAUUAAAACCAAACAAUAUGUUGAACUCAAACUAAAAUCUACACCACUUCUAAACACUUCUGUUAUCCAUGUUCCUUUCUAUGUUGAACUUUCUUAAUUUCCAUCAAAGUUGUAUCCCUAGUGUUUUCUGUAAUUUCUUAUAAUAUUAAGAAUCGCAUUAUCAUAGCAAC